AUUGAACGCUGGCGGCAUGCUUUACACAUGCAAGUCGAACGGUAACAGGCCUUCGGGUGCUGACGAGUGGCGAACGGGUGAGUGAUGCAUCGGAACGUGCCCAGAGGUGGGGGAUAACGCAGCGAAAGCUGUGCUAAUACCGCAUGUGAUCUGAGGAUGAAAGCGGGGGACCAAGCAGCAAUGUUUGGCCUCGCGCCUCUGGAGCGGCCGAUGUCAGAUUAGGUAGUUGGUGGGGUAAAGGCCUACCAAGCCGACGAUCUGUAGCUGGUCUGAGAGGACGACCAGCCACACUGGGACUGAGACACGGCCCAGACUCCUACGGGAGGCAGCAGUGGGGAAUUUUGGACAAUGGGCGCAAGCCUGAUCCAGCAAUGCCGCGUGCGGGAAGAAGGCCUUCGGGUUGUAAACCGCUUUUGUACGGAACGAAAAGGCUCUGGCUAAUACCUGGGGCUGAUGACGGUACCGUAAGAAUAAGCACCGGCUAACUACGUG
rnacentral:rRNA from 1 species